CACAAGGCAGAGACGCGACGCGAACCACCAAACCACCGUGCCCACCUACAAGUAAAAUAAAGGUUCCUUCUCUCCUUUGAACAGUUUUCAGUUUAGUUUUACUUUACUGUAAUAACCCUGCCUGGGAGAACUGUUGUCAGAACUUUGCCUCCAGACCCUUUCACACCUGCAGCACAUGACCAGCUAUUUGCAUCCCAUCCAUCAUCAGACCACAUGCAGCUAGUUGCGGCUUUAGGGUGUCCUUGUGAGAUUAUCCACAAGUACAGAAGGUGAGUCAGAAGCGCAGAAGGCUCCAGAUGAAGCAUGCAGGAGGAUAAGAGCAUUAGGAAGAAUCAAGCAGGUCCACAGGGCCGCGAGCUAAGCAGAGGAAUGCAGAGUUCGAGAUCACUGUGACUACCAGGUCACAGCCAUGACAGGAAUGACUCUCCAUAAAUUUCAUCACUCACUUUUCCCCAUGACAGAGGAACUUUGGGCAUGUAAAUGUGUGUGUGUUAGAGAGAGACUGACCUUGAAGUAACACUCCGAGUUAGACAUCAAAGGAAUGUGGAAUAAUGUGCUUAUAAAAACUCAGCACUGAGUAACAACUCCCUGAGACUAUACGAGGAAGAAACCUUGAAAGGAAUAAGCCUCGAAUGGGAACCCGUCCUCUUCUGGGUGACACCGGAUUACGAUUAUAAAUCAUUACUCUUCUGCAACUGUUAUAAAGGCAAGGAGUAAUAAGUGUGUUAAACGCAUGUUCAGUAUGAUGAGCACAGGUAUAUCCUGAAUAUACGUAUCUCCUGUAUAUCUAUCAGCUGUUCAACCAAUGUUGAUCUCCAUAAUGUCAUUAUUUACAAUGGCAUACGGUUUAAAUUCCUCUGAAAUAUUAGUUACUUUGAUUUAAACAUGUUUAAAAAUUGUUAUUUGAGAGAUAUAAGCUGGUGUUCCAUCAAUUUCCUCACCUUUCUAGAAAAUUAUGGAGCAGCAUGCUCAUUGCCCUAUUUAACUCUAUAGAGUUAUUCUUGCACCUAGUGGUCAAACAUGGGAACUGCAAUCAACAUUAAUACAGGCACAGGAAUCAUGCUGCCCUAUGCUCACUCUAUGAACAUUUUCAGUGGAGGAGGAGCUCUUGUUAUAAUCCC
ensembl:lncRNA